GUAAAAGUCGUAACAAGGUCUCCGUUGGUGAACCAGCGGAGGGAUCAUUACCGAGUUAUACAACUCCCAAACCCACUGUGAACCUUACCUCAGUUGCCUCGGCGGGAACGCCCCGGCCGCCUGCCCCCGCGCCGGCGCCGGACCCAGGCGCCCGCCGCAGGGACCCCAAACUCUCUUGCAUUACGCCCAGCGGGCGGAAUUUCUUCUCUGAGUUGCACAAGCAAAAACAAAUGAAUCAAAACUUUCAACAACGGAUCUCUUGGUUCUGGCAUCGAUGAAGAACGCAGCGAAAUGCGAUAAGUAAUGUGAAUUGCAGAAUUCAGUGAAUCAUCGAAUCUUUGAACGCACAUUGCGCCCGCCAGCAUUCUGGCGGGCAUGCCUGUUCGAGCGUCAUUUCAACCCUCGAGCCCCCCCCGGGGGCCUCGGUGUUGGGGGACGGCACACCAGCCGCCCCCGAAAUGCAGUGGCGACCCCGCCGCAGCCUCCCCUGCGUAGUAGCACACACCUCGCACCGGAGCGCGGAGGCGGUCACGCCGUAAAACGCCCAACUUUCUUAGAGUUGACCUCGGAUCAGGUAGGAAUACCCGC
rnacentral:rRNA from 1 species